rnacentral:piRNA from 1 species
UCCCACGCCUGGCUGAACUCUUGUUUCUGGC